CUCGAGUCUUUGACGCAAGUUGCGCCUGAAGCCAUUAGGUUGAGGGCACGCCUGCCUGGGUGUCACACAUUGUCACCCCAAUGCAAAUGUGCAUUGAGGUGAAAGUUGGCUUCCCGCGAGGCAUUCCUCGUGGUUGGUUCAAAACGAAGUUAAUCGCGAAGUCCCUCGUCAUAAAUGGUGGAUGAGUAAAUCUCGAGACCAAUCGUGACUGUGGUACUUUGGGGAUGUAAUUGGUUGGCUCUGUUGUGUUUUCUGUUCAUGUUGAAGAAGAUGCUUUUAUCGAGACCUCAGGUCAGGCGGGGCUACCCGCUGAGUUUAAGCAUAUCAAUAAGCGGAGGAAAAGAAACUAACAAGGAUUCCCCUAGUAACGGCGAGCGAACCGGGAACAGCCCAUCAUGAGAAUCGAUCGCCUUCGGUGUUCGAAUAGUAGUCUG
rnacentral:rRNA from 1 species